rnacentral:tRNA from 1 species
GAAAUUAGGUUAUUUUUAAACCAGGGACCUUCAAAGUCCCAAAUAGGAGCUCUUAAUUUCCG